rnacentral:lncRNA from 1 species
ACUAACUUCAGCCAUCAAAAUAAUACAUUCAAUUAAAAUUAUCUACUCCAUUUUUAUAAGAAAUGGUUCUGAAUCAUCCAAGAAAUUUUAGACAUCUUUCUGUUUUGCUUUAUGCACUAAAGCAAUGCAAGAAACUGAGAAGCAUUUCACUGCAAUAGCUACAGAAGUUCCUCUAAGAAUAUUGUGUCAAGAUUCAUUUAAUUUGUAUAGUUUAGCAUUUCACACAGGAAGCAUUUUAUAUCCUAGACCAAUGUUUCCCAAAGUGUGGUAUGUGCACCCCAGGGAUAUGGGAAGAGUUUGGUGGAGGUAUGUGCUGCACUGUGCUUUCAUUGUGCCUGUGCAUCAAGCAGUUUACUUUUUUCAAUUACAAACAUAGAAAAAUAAUAAAAAUCUUUAUUACUUGUUAGUAUUGUGUAUGCAUGGUUUUCUAUGUAUGCGUAGCCUGG